GACGAACGCUGGCGGCGUGCUUAACACUUGCAAGUCGAACGGAAAGGCCUUUUCGGAGGUACUCGAGUGGCGAACGGGUGAGUAACACGUGGGUGAUCUGCCCUGCACUCUGGGAUAAGCCUGGGAAACUGGGUCUAAUACCGGAUAGGACCGCACUUUAGUGUGUGUGGUGGAAAGUUUUUUCGGUGUAGGAUGAGCCCGCGGCCUAUCAGCUUGUUGGUGGGGUAAUGGCCUACCAAGGCGGCGACGGGUAGCCGGACUGAGAGGUUGGUCGGCCACAUUGGGACUGAGAUACGGCCCAGACUCCUACGGGAGGCAGCAGUGGGGAAUAUUGCACAAUGGGCGCAAGCCUGAUGCAGCGACGCCGCGUGGGGGAUGACGGCCUUCGGGUUGUAAACUCCUUUCGCCAGGGACGAAGCGUUUUGUGACGGUACCUGGAGAAGAAGCACCGGCUAACUACGUG
rnacentral:rRNA from 1 species